rnacentral:rRNA from 1 species
GUGGCAGACGGGUGAGUAACGCGUGGGAGCGUACCUUUCACUACGGAAUAGCUCUGGGAAACUGGUGGUAAUACCGUAUACGCCCUCCGGGGGAAAGAUUUAUCGGUGAAAGAUCGGCCCGCGUUGGAUUAGCUAGUUGGUGAGGUAAUGGCUCACAAAGGCGACGAUCCAUAGCUGGUCUGAGAGGAUGAUCAGCCACACUGGGACUGAGACACGGCCCAGACUCCUACGGGAGGCAGCAGUGGGGAAUCUUGCACAAUGGGCGAAAGCCUGAUGCAGCCAUGCCGCGUGAAUGAUGAAGGCCUUAGGGUUGUAAAAUUCUUUCGUCAGGGAUGAUAAUGACCGUACCUGAAGAAGAAGCCCCGGCUAACUUCGUGCCAGCAGCCGCGGUAAUACGAAGGGGGCUAGCGUUGUUCGGAAUUACUGGGCGUAAAGCGCACGUAGGCGGACUUUUAAGUCAGGUGUGAAAUCCCGGGGCUCAACCUCGGAACUGCAUUUGAAACUGGAAGUCUGGAGAUCAGGAGAGGUUAGCGGAAUACCGAGUGUAGAGGUGAAAUUCGUAGAUAUUCGGUGGAACACCAGUGGCGAAGGCGGCUAACUGGACUGAUACUGACGCUGAGGUGCGAAAGUGUGGGGAGCAAACAGGAUUAGAUACCCUGGUAGUCCAC